GAUGAAGAACGUAGCGAAAUGCGAUACGUAGUGUGAAUUGCAGAAUCCAGUGAAUCAUCGAGUCUUUGAACGCACAUUGCGCCCCCUGGUAUUCCGGGGGGCAUGCCUGUCCGAGCGUCAUUGCUGCCCUCAAGCACGGCUUGUGUGUUGGGCCCCGUCCUCCGAUCCCGGGGGACGGGCCCGAAAGGCAGCGGCGGCACCGCGUCCGGUCCUCGAGCGUAUGGGGCUUUGUCACCCGCUCUGUAGGCCCGGCCGGCGCUUGCCGAUCAACCCAAAUUUUUAUCCAGGUUGACCUCGGAUCAGGUAGGGAUACCCGCUGAACUUAAGCAUAUCAAUAAGCGGAGGA
rnacentral:misc_RNA from 1 species